ensembl:snRNA U6 U6 spliceosomal RNA
AUGUUUGCGUUAGCACCACAUAUGCUAAAAUUGGAACAAUACAAAGCAGAUUAGUAUGGCCCCUGCAGUAUGACUGGCAAAUUUAUGAAGCAUUCCAUAUUUUU